AGAAACAAUAAUGAAAAUUAUUGACAAGAAGACCCUAAGAAUUUUUUUAAUUUAAUUAAAAAAUUUUUUAAUUAAAUUCUUUAAUUGGGGCGAUUAAUAAAAAUUAAAAACUUUGUUUUUUUAAAAAAGAACCAAUAAUAUUGNAAAUAUGAUAAAAAUACUCUAGGGAUAACAGCGUAAU
rnacentral:rRNA from 1 species